GAGAUGGGUCAGGGAGACAGAAGUAAACUGCCCGUGGAUAAACAAAAUCUUCUCCCAUCCGAGGUCGCAGACAGGAUUUUUAAAAUGGGGGCAUUUUCUUGUUGAUUUUUGCCCUCUUCUCUGAGAUGCCUCAAGCCCCCACGCCCCGCCGCCGCCAAACUUCUCUGUACUCUUUUUAUUAUUUUGCCUUAUUUUGAUUCCCUAGAGGACGGGUACAGCAGACCCAAAAGGGAUCGAUUUGACAGUCGCCUUUGCUGUGUUAGGCCUUUGCGGAGGGUGUGGUGCUAAGUGUUCUUCCAGCGCUGGAGCAAGCCAAAACGAAUUCUCUUCCUUCCCAGCCUUUUGCCCCACCCAUGAAAGUUGUUCUGCUCCUUUGGGAAAUUUUCACUGUUCGAGGCAGACAUUUAUUGCGUUGCUAAAUGAUACCUAGAAGUAACUCAGCCUUUACGAGUCUAAGUGUAAGAGACUUAAAUGAAUAUGACUGUCACACAAAAAAGGUGUGUCCUACUUCAACACUCAACAUUCAAGAAAUAUUUGUCAAAGACCUGCUGUAAGCCAGG
rnacentral:sRNA from 1 species